CACGUAGGGAGCAAGCGUUGUCCGGAUUUAUUGGGCGUAAAGAGCUCGUAGGCGGUUCGAUAAGUCAGGUGUGAAAACUCUGGGCUCAACUCAGAGACGCCACUUGAUACUGUCGUGACUUGAAUCUGGUAGGGGAGUGUGGAAUUCCCGGUGUAGCGGUGAAAUGCGCAGAUAUCGGGGGGAACACCAGUGGCGAAGGCGGCACUCUGGGCCAGUAUUGACGCUGAGGAGCGAAAGCGUGGGGAGCGAACAGG
rnacentral:rRNA from 1 species